UUUUCAAGUCACUAACUCACUUAUCAAGUGACCACACUUAACUAAAUUCAAAACACAAGUCCACAUUUCAAGUACCUAUACUUAAAUAUUUUCGACUCACUAACUCACUUCUCUAGUGACCACACUUAGCUAUAUUCAAAAUACAAGUCCACCUUUCAAGUAACUACACUUAAACAUUUUUGGCUCACUAAUUCACUUCUCAAAUGACCAUAUUUAACUAAAUUCAAAACGCAAGUCCACAUUUUAAGUACCUACACUUAAAUAUUUUCAAGUCACUUAUUCACUUCUCUAGUGACCACACUUAACUAUAUUCAAAACACAAGUUCACCUUUCAAGUAACUACACUUAAACAUUUUUGACUCACUAAUUCACUUCUUAAGUGACCACACUUUAGUAAAUUCUACACAUUCA
rnacentral:lncRNA from 1 species